GGCCAAGUAGCUCAGUUGGUAGAGCAGAGGACUGAAAAUCCUUGUGUCGGUGGUUCGAUUCCGCCCUUGGCCA
rfam:Betaproteobacteria bacterium RIFCSPLOWO2_02_67_12 rifcsplowo2_02_sub10_scaffold_10825, whole genome shotgun sequence.